rnacentral:rRNA from 1 species
CCUACGGGGGGCAGCAGUCGAGAAUCAUUCACAAUGGGGGAAACCCUGAUGGUGCGACGCCGCGUGGGGGAAUGAAGGUCUUCGGAUUGUAAACCCCUGUCAUGUGGGAGCAAAUUAAAAAGAUAGUACCACAAGAGGAAGAGACGGCUAACUCUGUGCCAGCAGCCGCGGUAAUACAGAGGUCUCAAGCGUUGUUCGGAAUCACUGGGCGUAAAGCGUGCGGAGGCUGUUUCGUAAGUCGUGUGUGAAAGGCGCGGGCUCAACCCGCGGACGGCACAUGAUACUGCGAGACUAGAGUGAUGGAGGGGGAACCGGAAUUCUCGGUGUAGCAGUGAAAUGCGUAGAUAUCGAGAGGAACACUCGUGGCGAAGGCGGGUUCCUGGACAUUAACUGACGCUGAGGCACGAAGGCCAGGGGAGCGAAAGGGAUUAGAUACCCGGGUAGUC